ACACAUGCAAGUCGAACGGUUGUAGCAAUACAGCAGUGGCAGACGGGUGAGUAACACGUGGGAACCUUCCUAGGGGGUACGGAACAACUCAGGGAAACUUGAGCUAAUACCGUAUACGUCCGUGAGGAGAAAGAUUUAUCGCCCUUAGACGGGCCCGCGUCGGAUUAGCUAGUUGGUGGGGUAACGGCCUACUAAGGCGACGAUCCGUAGCUGAUCUUAGAGGAUGAUCAGCCACACUGGGACUGAGACACGGCCCAGACUCCUACGGGAGGCAGCAGUGGGGAAUCUUGGACAAUGGGCGCAAGCCUGAUCCAGCCAUGCCGCGUGAGUGAAGAAGGUCUUCGGAUUGUAAAGCUCUUUUGCCAGGGACGAUAAUGACGGUACCUGGAGAAUAAGCCCCGGCAAACUUCGUG
rnacentral:rRNA from 1 species